rnacentral:lncRNA from 1 species
ACCUUUAGUCCCUUGUCUACACCCUGAAGGUGUAACAUGAGGGAUCCCAUCUGCUAUGGUUUGAAUGUGCGUGCCCGCUCCAAAAUUCAUGCUGAAACUUAAUCCCCAGCGCAACUGUAUCGGAAGGUAGGGCCUUCUGGUGGUGGGGUUGAGUGCUCUGCCCUCAUGAAUGGCAUUAAUGCCUUAUAAAGAGGCUUCACACUGCGUCUGCUCCUUUUUGGCCUUUAACCUUCCUCCACGUAAGGACACAGUGAACAAGGUGCCAUCUUGGAAACAAACAGCAGCCUUCACCAGACACCAGACCUUCUGGCACCUUGACCUUGCGCUUUCCAGCCUCCAGAACCGUGAGAAAUCAAUGUUUAUUGUUUAUAAAUUACCCAAUCUGUGGUAUUUUUUUAAAACAGCAUAAUGGGACUAAGACACCAUCAGAACUUGGGACCAAAAGAAUACUUUUGCCCUCUGAGAGCUGAUUCUUAACACAGAAUAAAAAUGAAGAAUUACUUUAAAGAGAUGGACUACCUCAAGGGACUAGAACUAUUGCCACUGAGGGCAGGUGAAAGUUCAGCCAACUCGGAACCCGGAGGCCCCACCUUACCUCCCUUUGUGAAGAGCCCAGAGCCUUUGUCCAAAGCUGCAUCACUUCCCACCCAGCCCUUCCUGAGCCAACUCCCCGAUGUCUCCAGAAGAACACAGUCGGCAUCAUCGUGAUAACAUCAGGGAAACUCCUAUUUCCAGCAGUUUCUCCUUCAGCUGCAAAAAUGUGCAGCAGUAGACAGGGCGUGGGUUUUUGAAGUCUCUGCAGGAAGUAGAGUUAUUUUCUCAGCACCACAUCUGAGCGCAUCUUCUAAGGGUGGCCGACUGUGUGGGAGCUGCAGGAGCUCAGCCGGGAUGCAGCCCUCCCAUUCCCCACCCUGUCCACUACCACCACGCCUGGAUCCGACAGGCAGGGCAGGACCCCAUGCCACGUGGUAACUGUUAAGGAAAAUGGAGCCAGGUAGGGGGGAUGUCUGAUACCCUUCCUGGUUUUCCUGAGUGUUCUUUGUCUCCCCAACUCCUACUCACAAUAAAUCUGACUACACUUAAACU